UGAGAGUAAAUGUGUUGUUUGCUGUGUUUUUAUGGAAGAUUAUGAGCCCUAGUUGUCUAAUAAAAUGCAAGUUAUGUGUAUUAUCUGUUAAAUAUAAAGUGCUACCGAGUAUUGGUUUCGGUAUUUUACGGAAGAUGGCAAGGAUAUGUGUUCGAGGAAAAUCCCGUUUGAACCUUAGGAAUAGAUUAGGAUACAAGUGACAUGUCACUAGGAUGGUUGAGCAUCCGAAUGAGUUGAGUCCGAGUUCACUUAUGGAUGCGAAUGUUCGAACUCGUUGAGUUGAGUCUGAGUUCGUGAGAUGUAACUAGGCAUCUGAGCUCGUUGAGUUGAGUCCGAGUUCACUUAUGGAUGCGAACGCCCGAGCUCGUUGAGUUGAGUCCGAGUUCACUUAUGAGCGGGUUACAUGGUAGCUUGGCUACAUAUGUGGCACUUAUGUGCAAACUUUCCAUGUAUCCGAAUUAUAUUCCGAUAUGUUUAACGGGUAAAAUUCUACUCAAAUGGAGGAAUACUCGAGAUGAAAGGGACGUAUUGGUAAAUGUUGUGAAAUGGAUACUUUGAACAGAGUUUCCAGGUUAGCUCGGGUUGGAGGCCGUCAGAGAUAUUAUCACCCUAUCGAGUUAACGUUAUCGGAGUAAGUAAACUCAAGUGAUUCGAGUCUAUGGCAUGUAUAGGGUUUUAAUGUGAGUAUGUAAUAUUAUGAUUUAGCCAAAGGCAUUGGCUUGUUAUUAAGGUAGUAUUAGUUAUGUAAAUUGGCCUAUGCCGGCUAAUAUCAUUAUGGGCCCAUAUGAUUAUUCUUAUGCAUUUAUGUUAUUAUUUCUUGUGAUGUGGCUUACAACAUGCAUGCCUAGAGAUUGAAUUGAGAUUCAUUGAUGAGCUAGUAACUAAUGCAGGAUUAAGUGAUUGGUAAAUA